rnacentral:rRNA from 1 species
GAUGAACGCUGGCGGCGUGCUUAACACAUGCAAGUCGAACGGUGAAGCUCCAGCUUGCUGGAGUGGAUCAGUGGCGAACGAGUGAGUAACACGUGAGCAACCUGCCCCUGACUCUGGGAUAACAGCCGGAAACGGCUGCUAAUACCGGAUAUGCACCAUGAACGCAUGUUCUGUGGUGGGAAAGAUUUUUCGGUUGGGGAUGGGCUCGCGGCCUAUCAGCUUGUUGGUGAGGUAAUGGCUCACCAAGGCGUCGACGGGUAGCCGGCCUGAGAGGGUGACCGGCCACACUGGGACUGAGACACGGCCCAGACUCCUACGGGAGGCAGCAGUGGGGAAUAUUGCACAAUGGGCGAAAGCCUGAUGCAGCAACGCCGCGUGAGGGAUGACGGCCUUCGGGUUGUAAACCUCUUUUAGCAGGGAAGAAGCGAGAGUGACGGUACCUGCAGAAAAAGCGCCGGCUAACUACGUG